GACGAACGCUGGCGGCGUGCUUAACACAUGCAAGUCGAACGAUAAACCCGGAGCUUGCUCCGGUGGAUUAGUGGCGAACGGGUGAGUAACACGUGAGUAACCUGCCCUUGACUCUGGGAUAACUGCGGGAAACUGUAGCUAAUACCGGAUACGACCCUCGGCGGCAUCGCCAGGGGGUGGAAAGAAUUACGGUCAAGGAUGGAAUCGCGGCCUAUCAGCUAGUUGGUGAGGUAACGGCUCACCAAGGCGACGACGGGUAGCCGGCCUGAGAGGAUGACGGGCCACACUGGGACUGAGACACGGCCCAGACUCCUACGGGAGGCAGCAGUGGGGAAUAUUGCACGAUGGGCGCAAGCCUGAUGCAGCAACGCCGCGUGAGGGAUGACGGCCUUCGGGUUGUAAACCUCUUUUAGUAGGGAAGAAGCGAAAGUGACGGUACCUGCAGAAAAAGCACCGGCUAACUACGUGCCAGCCGCCGCAGUAACAC
rnacentral:rRNA from 1 species